rnacentral:lncRNA from 1 species
CCCAAAUUGGACAUAUCUGGUUAUUCAUGUUCAUUUGGUGACAAUAAAGUUAGUCUCUUUCAGAAUUCAGAUCUUAUCGGUACUGGUCUUUUAUAAACAUUUGAUAGCCUAUAUUUGGUUGACACAAUAACCUCACAUAAUGAAACUUUGAUACAAGUUUAAGUGGUACCAAAAGAAAAUUAACUAAUGAGAAUUCUAUAUCACUCUGGCACA